UUCCCUAUUCUCUGUAUUUUCGCCUGCAGACAGAUUUCCCCUGGAGUCUUGUGGGAUAAGGUGGGAAGCUGUGCAGAAGAGUCAGGAUGGGCCAGUUUGAUGUGUAAUGGAUUGGCAGAUUUAAGAUAAAAAAAAAUGCAUCUGUGUGUGUGUGGUGUGGGGGAAGGGAGAUCAGCUGGGGCUGUGUUCCAAUUGGUUCUUGUACAAAAAGUUUCAUAUUAAAGUAGAGUGACUUCUUCAGAGCUUGUUGACAGAGAACCAUACUCUUGGCUUCUCAGAAGAAACGUAACAUUGAGGAUUCCUAAACUGCUCUUUGGACAUGGAUUUGCCAUCAGCGAAGAUUCAGGUGUUACUGGGUUGUAGAGAAUUUAAACUCAGCAGGGAUCUGGUGAUGGUGGGGGAGAGCACAGACGUAGAAUGUUAAAACCAGGUGUUGCUGCCCAGAGGACCUGUACUACAGAAAGGAAGGAGGGGGCUUUACCAGUCAGGGGCUGGAAAUUGCCUCAUCCCAGUUUUUUUAAACACAUCAAAGUGACAGGCUUUCUUUCAUAUUCAGUCUACCCUUCAAGCUUUGCCUUGUGGUCAGCUGGGGAGAAGAGGCUUCAUAACACUCAGCUUUGGAUAUAAAUGCUGGCUCACCUUCUGGAGCAGAACCUCUUAAGGAUCCUGGAGAAGGAAGACAUUGACACUUGUAAGAAGCUUUGCCCUCUCGGGUGUAGGGAAGCAGCCCCUUGGUGGCUUUGAGGGAGAUGUGACAGAGGCCAGUGGAGAAGGUUUAAGUCCAGUGUUUUGAAGCAAAGACGCUGGAGGGGCUGUGGAAGUCUUUCCUGCCUCAUUUUUAGCACUUCGUACAAGGCCUCACAGAAGAAGAUGAAAGAGAUUGAUUGCAACUGCGGAUCUGUGAGGAGAGGCAUCUGAAUGCUGGUCUUGGGGAGAAUUUUCUGGAUCGCUUCUCAGAACACACUUGUUCCCGUUUUGUUCAAUUGAGAAGGAGGCACCUUGGCAGCUGCCCACUGACCACUGCUUCACAGCUGUGGGGAGCGCGCUCUGUGGACGAGCUUCUCUCCCUCGGUCCCUGGAUCUAAAAUAGGCUCUCCUCUCCUUGUCCAAGAUGAACUAUAAAGCAAUCAUUGCUUACCUAGCUAUGCUGCUACUGCUAAGUCGCUUCAGUCGUGUCCGACUCUGUGCGACCGCAUGGACGGCAGCCCACCAGGCUCCGCCGUCCCUGGGAUUCUGCUAUAGGCUUGGCUUUUUAAUCUCAAAAAUAUCAUCUUUGAGUUACCAGUGCUAUGUGUCUCCGUGUCUCGCAUUUUAAUAGAACCAUGUGAAGCUGUUUUGUUAUUUUUUUAAAAACAUUUUAUGGCAAAAAGUUGAAACAUCUUGGAGUUCCUUACAGAGCAGGAUUUUCAUGUACAUGUGAAAUGACAUUCGAUUUGAAAAUUUGAAAGUUUUGGGAACUGAAAAUGACUGAGCGCACGUUUGUAAGAUUGUAUUACUGUCCCCAAUGCUGUCAGUUUCUGGAGAGCUAAGGCCUCUUCUCUCUAAAUUUCAAUUAUAUUAUUAGCAGUAGGCCAUCUUCACAAUAAUUGGUACACUCACUUUAUCUAAUGGAGUAUUUUUCAUCUAAUUGACUGGAAACUUAUCAUACAAAUGUCAAAGCCAGAUUUUCCUAUAAUAACCUAUUAUCUCUGCAGUUCUGGCUCAGUGCACCCACAAGAAAUGGCAUAAUAAUCAUCUUUGGGAGAGUGAAGGACAGCAACUUAAUUUCCCUGCCUCUGAUGAGAAUGACAGCUCCUUCAAAAGGAGAAACUUUUAAUACAUCCACUUGAUCUUGCCACAUUUGUCAUUCACAAAUCUGACUUCAUUUUGCUCUAAAUAUGUGAGUGAAUAUUCUUGUUGGAAGACAGCAUUUCAGAGACAGGAGGAAAGAUUAAAAACAAAGAACAGGAUUAGGAGUGUGAGCUCGGGAUGCUGCUUUUAGAUUAGAUGAUUUUGGGGCAAAUCACCCCAUCUCCCUGGUUCUUAAAUAUCAAAUGAGAAGUUCAGCUAGGAUAUUGUUUCAUAGACUUUGGUCAUUUAUGUAUCUCUUCUUCAGGGCCUUUUACACAUUUAUGUAUUGGCCGUCUACUUUUGUACAUACUGUGUUUCAUUGUGUCAAACAGUAAAACAACAAACGAAUCAAACAAAAAACAAGCAAGCAAAACACCCAACUACCUAUGGACAUAUAUAUACAUGUAUUUGAAAAAUAAAUCCAAAAUAAGUAAUAAACACAUAACUACCACUAGCAAUAAAUGGAACCCUAAAAAUAAAUAAAUAAAUACCAAUUUAAAGGAAGUAUGCUUGUGGACCACCAGGGAAAAAUUAUGCCAGGAGCAAUAUUUCCAUUAUUAUGCAGUUUACACAAUUUAGGCAGUUUGUAAUAUGUACCACUAAUAGAAUAAUGCAUAUUAUAAUUUGGGAAACAUUGCCCUAGCUGAUUUAGGGGGUCUUUUCCUGCUUCAGAAAGUCCAUGAUUAAAUUAUUUAAGACAAUAUGUUUCUGAUGUACAUUUCAGAAGAGCCACCCUGCCUCAGAAAUCUUUCUAAAUAAUUUCCAAAGAAAGGGAGUAUUCCUAGUCAAAAGAUGUGAUGUGACAGACUAUCUUGUUCUCCAGAGGAACCAAUGAAAACAUGGAGACUCAUGGGAAUGUCAGAGUGAGAGAUGGAACAGAAAAAUCCUAUUUCCUCCCUCAAAUUAAGAUAAAGAUGUGAAGUACUAUUUAUGAUAUGCUUUUAAAACUGGCACUGCCUUUAUCCAUCUCACUACUAUGCACCAGGUCAUGUAGCUAUGCCUGUAUACAGAACACAGUUUGCACAUGGUCUAAAAAGAUGCCAACAUUUCUCUAAUCUGAGAAAAGAUGAGAAUGUGGAAAAGGGCUGUGAUUAUGUCUGGCUUCUCUGAGCCAAAUAGGGUUGUCUUACCUCAGAAGAGCCUCUUCUAGGAAAUAAUCAGAGAUAAAGUAUAAUAAACAAAGAUUUAUAAAGAUGUUUACUGUUAUGAUGUUUGUAAUAGUGUGAAAAAAACACUUAAAUACCAAGCAUGCAGGUUAUAUUUAAACAAAUUGUAAUAUAUCAAUUUGGUGGAAUAUAUGAUCAUUAAAAUAGCAUUUAUGAAGAUGUUAAUAAAGUAGGGAUAGGCAUACGAUAUGCUGUAAUAUUGGGUAAAAUCCUGUGAUCAGAAUUAUCCAAACAUCUUAGUACGGCCUACAAAUUGACUCAAGCUCUAGUCUCUGCCUAACUUUCUUGUCAUAGGCGAGAAGACACCUCAUGUGGCACAUGGUUCUUCAGCUGCGUUGAAAUGCUGGUUAUUCUCCAAACAUAGCAAGUUCUCCUGAAAGUCCAUGCUAUUGACCAUACUAGCUUUUUUAAAAAAACAAGACUAAUC